AGUCGGAUGUGAAAUCCCCGGGCUCAACCUGGGAACUGCAUUCGAAACUGUCUGACUAGAGUUUGGUAGAGGGAAGUGGAAUUCCACAUGUAGCGGUGAAAUGCGUAGAUAUGUGGAGGAACAUCAGUGGCGAAGGCGGCUUCCUGGACUAAAACUGACACUGAGGCGCGAAAGCGUGGGGAGCAAACAGGAUUAGAUACCCUGGUAGUCCACGCUGUAAACGAUGAGAACUAGACGUUGGAAGGUUUUACCUUUUAGUGUCGCAGCUAACGCACUAAGUUCUCCGCCUGGGGAGUACGGUCGCAAGACUAAAACUCAAAGGAAUUGACGGGGGGCCCGCACAAGCGGUGGAGUAUGUGGUUUAAUUCGAUGCAACGCGAAAAACCUUACCUGCUCUUGACAUCUAGAGAACCCCGCAGAGAUGUGGGGGUGCCGCAAGGAACUCUAAGACAGGUGCUGCAUGGCUGUCGUCAGCAUGCGUGUCGUUGAGAUAUUGGGGUAAGUCUCCCUGACAGAGCGCGAAACCUGUCUCUAUAGUUGCACACCAUUUAGUUGGCCAUUUUAAGGAGACUGCCGGUGACAAACCGGAGGAAGGUGGGGAUGACGUCAUCUAAUUAUCAUCCCCUAUAGUGACACAGGGUAAACAACAGUAAUACCAAUGGCCCGGUACAGAGGGUCGCCAACCCGCGAGGGGGAGCCAAUCUCACAAAGCCGGUCGUAGUCCGGAUCGGAGUCUGCA
rnacentral:rRNA from 1 species